CCUACGGGGCGCUGCAGUGGGGAAUAUUGGACAAUGGGCGAAAGCCUGAUCCAGCCAUGCCGCGUGUGUGAAGAAGGCCUUCGGGUUGUAAAGCACUUUCAGUGGGGAAGAAAGCCUUGGGGCUAAUACCCUCGAGGAAGGACAUCACCCACAGAAGAAGCACCGGCUAACUCCGUUCCAGCAGCCGCGGUAAUACGGAGGGUGCGAGCGUUAAUCGGAAUUACUGGGCGUAAAGCGCGCGUAGGCGGUCUGAUAAGCCGGUUGUGAAAGCCCCGGGCUCAACCUGGGAACGGCAUCCGGAACUGUCAGGCUAGAGUGCAGGAGAGGAAGGUAGAAUUCCCGGUGUAGCGGUGAAAUGCGUAGAGAUCGGGAGGAAUACCAGUGGCGAAGGCGGCCUUCUGGACUGACACUGACGCUGAGGUGCGAAAGCGUGGGUAGCAAACAGGAUUAGAUACCCCUGUAGUC
rnacentral:rRNA from 1 species